rnacentral:rRNA from 1 species
CAGCACCUCAAGUGGUCAGGAUGAUUAUUGGGCCUAAAGCAUCCGUAGCCGGCUCUGUAAGUUUUCGGUUAAAUCUGUAUGCUCAACAUACAGGCUGCCGGGAAUACUGCAGAGCUAGGGAGUGGGAGAGGUAGGCGGUACUCGGUAGGAAGGGGUAAAAUCCUUUGAUCUAUUGAUGACCACCUGUGGCGAAGGCGGUCUACCAGAACACGUCCGACGGUGAGGGAUGAAAGCUGGGGGAGCAAACCGGAUUAGAUACCCGAGUAGUCC